rnacentral:rRNA from 1 species
AUUGAACGCUGGCGGCAUGCUUUACACAUGCAAGUCGAACGGUAACAGGUUAAGCUGACGAGUGGCGAACGGGUGAGUAAUGCAUCGGAACGUGCUCGGUCGUGGGGGAUAACGCAGCGAAAGCUGCGCUAAUACCGCAUACGAUCUGAGGAUGAAAGCGGGGGACCGUAAGGCCUCGCGCGAUCGGAGCGGCCGAUGUCAGAUUAGGUAGUUGGUGGGGUAAAGGCUCACCAAGCCAACGAUCUGUAGCUGGUCUGAGAGGACGACCAGCCACACUGGGACUGGGACACGGCCCAGACUCCUACGGGAGGCAGCAGUGGGGAAUUUUGGACAAUGGGCGAAAGCCUGAUCCAGCAAUGCCGCGUGCAGGAAGAAGGCCUUCGGGUUGUAAACUGCUUUUGUACGGAGCGAAAAGGUCUCCUCUAAUACAGGGGGCUCACGACGGUACCGUAAGAAUAAGCACCGGCUAACUACGUGCCAGCCGCCGCGGUAA